rnacentral:tRNA from 1 species
UAGUAUGUAUGUUAAUGCAGACUAGCUCCCAUUUGGGAGAAGGUGGGGGUUCGAUUCCCCCCUUACUAU